UACAGAGGUCCCAAGCGUUGUUCGGAUUCACUGGGCGUAAAGGGUGCGUAGGUGGCAUGGUAAGUUUGAUGUGAAAGCUCAGGCUUAACCCCGAAAUGGCAUUGAAUACUACUGUGCUGGAGGUUUGGAGGGGGGGACUGGAAUUCUUGGUGGUAGCAGUGAAAUGCGUAGAUAUCAAGAGGAACACCAGUGGCGAAGGCGAGUCCCUGGACAACACCUGACAUGAGGCACGAAAGCUAGGGGAGCAAACAGG
rnacentral:rRNA from 1 species